CAUGCAAGUCGAGCGAGAAGCUAACUUCGGUUAGUGGAAAGCGGCGCACGGGUGAGUAACGCGUGGGAAUUUACCUUUUGGUGGGGGACAACAGUUGGAAACGACUGCUAAUACCGCAUAUACCCUACGGGGGAAAGAUUUAUCGCCAAAAGAUGGGCCCGCGUUAGAUUAGGUAGUUGGUAGGGUCAAAGCCUACCAAGCCUACGAUCUAUAGCUGGUUUGAGAGAACGAUCAGCCACACUGGAACUGAGACACGGUCCAGACUCCUACGGGAGGCAGCAGCGGGGAAUCUUGCACAAUGGGCGAAAGCCUGAUGCAGCCAUGCCGCGUGAGUGAGAAGGCCUUCGGGUUGUAAAACUCUUUUAGAUGUGAAGAUGAUGACGGUAACAUCAGAAAAAGCCCCGGCUAACUUCGUGCCAGCAGCCGCGGUAAUACGAAGGGGGCUAGCGUUGUUCGGAAUUACCGGGCGUAAAGAGCGUGUAGGCGGCUAGAUAAGUUAGGGGUGAAACCCCGGAGCUCAACUUCGGAAUUGCCUUUGAUACUGUCUAGCUUGAGAUUGCGAGGGGAUAGCGGAAUACCCAGUGUAGAGGUGAAAUUCGU
rnacentral:rRNA from 1 species